CUCCACCUCAAUAAAAUCCCCCCAUACAAAAACAAUUUCACAUUUCCUACUGCUGCCAAUGCCUGUUAAUGGUUUGCAAGGUUUAUACAAUCAUCUACAGAUAUGUUGCCUUCUCUUUUUCUGGCUUGAGUAGCUUUCCACCCUUAAAUAUCUUCACUUUUCAGACAUGAAAGCAACCUGGCUUUCCUAAGCAAGAUCUGCAUUUGGUCUUUCACUGUUCUGCUGCACUAACACUAAUGCCUUAACAGGUAGGGCAGCUGUGUGUUUAUUCAUGAUAUAUAUACUGAAGAUCUUGAUAAAAUAUUCACUGAAGUGUUCCAAAAUCCAGGUAUUUUCUGACAUCUUUCAUAUGACCAGUUUACUUAAUUCCUUGCAAUCACGGUGUUUCAGUAGAUCCUGCCAUUCAAGUUACCAUAUUUUAACUAAACUAUACUGUGCAGGAUUUCAAAAUAAGGCAUUUCAAAAUGAAGAAUUGUUUCAAGGGACUUUCCUCACUAAGUGCUAAGCUUUACCAACUGAUAUUACCUUAAAAUGGCCAUAGGCCAACAAUAAAUCCAGACUUUUAAUCUAAUAAUAUGUUACAUUGAUCCCACAUCCAGGUAAAUGACUGGUAAAUGGCAUUGCCUUUCUUCAUUUUCAGUACAGGACGUGUCAGUUGCCUCUGCUUUCCUGCCACUGGAAGGUUCAUUGUCCCACAGAGAAGGGAAGACUCACCUGUGAGGGCUUUUGCUUUUUUCUCUGUACUGUGCUACAAUUAGUGAUUUUUGGAGCCAUUGAAGAUUAAACCGGAAUUCCUUCAUUAAUGCAACAGCAUCAAUUUAUGAAUGAGUACUCAGCAGGUUUUGAAAGGCCAUCUUCUUCCUUGGCCAAGGUGAUGAUAUUGCAAAAAGCCUUAGCAUUCCCACACAUCUGUUCAUCUUUCUCUGUGACGUGCCCUAUCUGGAGUACAAAAACAGAUCAAGGUUACAGCAAGAAAGAGGGAGAAGUUGCCUCCAGAAGGAAACCACCACAAUGCGAACCUCAGCCAGCUAACUGGAAGCAACUGACUCCAGCUACUGGGAGUAUAAGAGCUCCUGUGCUGUGCCUUGACAGCUUUCACCACAAUCCAGAUUUAUCAGAGCCUGUUAUACUGCAGUGUCUGCCUGAGAGGGGAACUGCUGUCUCCUAUAGCCCUGGGGAAAACCUGAUGCAUUCUGUGGAAUUAAGGGCCUUGCGAAGGAGAUCCCAGCUCUGCUUCCCACCUGGCAUGUGCAUUGAGAGUCCAGGGGAGGCUGUGGCCUAACACUCGAUAUGUUUGGUCUCAGUUCUUUCUACUUGUCCUGGUUUAGGGCAAAUCUGGGAGAAAACCUCAGGAAGGAGCCCCCAGAAAGCAAACCGCACGGCCCCUCCCCCACCUGGUUCAGGAAGAAUUUCCUCAGAGAGAAAAAGAAAAAACCUGUUUAUUUAAUGAGCAAAGCACUCCUCAGCACAAAAAAUGAACAACACCGGAUGAUAAAACCUCUUUCACCACUCUGAAGAGAUGACAAAUUCAGAAAGUAUCUCAUGGGAGUGGUCGCCUGGUUCUCGGUCUCCAGCACUGGGCAUGGCUGCUGCAGGUCACAAAGCGCAGGCUCUCGGUGUCUCUUGGUGUUUCCCAGGUCCCAGUCCAGAGUAGGUUGGAAUGGUAUUCAGGAAAGGGAAAGAAAAACAGUCCAGGGAAAAAAUUGGACUGCCUACCUAAACUAACUAAUAAGCAAAAGCAAUGGCAAAAGCGAAAAGGAGCAAGAGCACAGCGAAAGCAAGCAAGCCCUAGCCUUUCCUAGACACAGACCAUGGGGGGAGGUGAAACAGCUCAUAACAAGACAAAACAAACCUUCACUUUUUCCAAGCCAAUCCUGAAGGCACUGAACAUAACAUCAAGCAUAAACAGAACACACAACUGGGGAUACAAGCACCAUAAUGUCACCCUAGGACAGUGCUGAAAGGAGAAAAGAACAGAACUGACUUCCCUGAACCUGUGCUUGGAGCACUGAGUCAUUGUCUUGGUUUGAAAAGACAAGUGUCUGCUACAGAAGGCAGCAGACUCCCCUGAAAUGGAAAAUGUAAAACCCUCCCUCCAAAAUGUAAUAAUUAUGUAAUUAAGGGGGUUUUCAGGCAAACAUAUGGGAGCAGGAAUAACAGUUCUUUAUUAGGGAAGAAAAAAAAAACAACAAAAAAAGAAAUACAAAACAACACUGACUGAGUCAGAAUAUGACCUGACACCCUAUUGGUCAGGGUGUUGGUAGCAGUCCAAUUGAAAUGGU
rnacentral:lncRNA from 1 species